UGAAACAAGUGAAUAUAAUGAAAAAAAAAAAGUUGUAUCUCCUACGAUUACCUAAACAAACAAACAAACAAAACACUGUUGUAAAAAAAAAGCGAAUUUUCACAACCAAUACACACAGACAUAGGAACAGCAGAAUGAAUGUUCGAUCAACAGAGUAAACGGAAAGUUCGGACUAUCCACAGCGGACCAGAAAAUUGAGCCAACUCUAGGAAGUAGUACUAGCUUACGACGAUA